GCUGGCGGCGUGCCUAACACAUGCAAGUCAACUUGACUGAAGGAGCAAUCUGACAGUAGAGUGGUGCAAGGGUGCGUAACGCGUAAGUAACUUGCCCAAGGUAAGGAAUAACGUCGAGAAAUCGGCGCUAAUACCUCAUAAUGCAGCGGAUCCGCAUGGAUAUGUUGUUAAAGGUUUACCGCCUUGGGAUAGGCUUGCGUCUGAUUAGCUAGUUGGUGUGGUAACGGCACACCAAGACUACGAUCAGUAACUGGUCUGAGAGGAUGAUCAGUCACACUGGAACUGAGACACGGUCCAGACUCCUACGGGAGGCAGCAGUGAGGAAUAUUGGGCAAUGCUCGAAAGAGUGACCCAGCAACGCCGCGUGGAGGAUGAAGGUAUUCUAUAUCGUAAACUCCUGUGAGAGCAGACGAAAGACAGAUUAUUAAUCUGGAUGACUGUAUGCUCAGAGGAAGCCCCGGCUAACUACGUG
rnacentral:rRNA from 1 species